UACGUAGGGAGCGAGCGUUAUCCGGAAUUAUUGGGUGUAAAGGGUGCGUAGACGGGAAUACAAGUUAGUUGUGAAAUCCCUCGGCUUAACUGAGGAACUGCAACUAAAACUAUAUUUCUUGAGUGCAGGAGAGGUAAGUGGAAUUCCUAGUGUAGCGGUGAAAUGCGUAGAUAUUAGGAGGAACACCAGUGGCGAAGGCGACUUACUGGACUGUAACUGACGUUGAGGCACGAAAGUGUGGGGAGCAAACA
rnacentral:rRNA from 1 species